AGGGAGACAAUAAAUUGAUUGUGACGUCUAAGUUAUUUAUUCUUAGGCCGCAAUCCUGUCACCUUAAGGUCGAUCGGUACCUCAGAUUUUUGAAUUAGUUUUAUAACUAAUUCUUUGAUUUCAGUUCCUAAACUUGUCUAGGUCACACCCAACAAAGGUUUCUCCUGGGCCAUUAGCUCAGGUGGUUAGAGCGCACCCCUGAUAAGGGUGAGGUCCCUGGUUCAAGUCCAGGAUGGCCCAUUCGUUGUUGGGGGUAUAGCUCAGUUGGUAGAGCGCCUGCUUUGCAAGCAGGAUGUCAGCGGUUCGAGUCCGCUUACCUCCACUGAAAACUAUCCUGAUAACUAAAUUCGGAGAAAAAUUUGUAGAAGUGACUUAGAAUUGUCUGUCUGAAAAGAACCUAGCUUCUUGUCAUCUUUUUAUAGUUGAUAACAUGCUGGGCUCGCAUGGAUUAAUUCCAUGAGAAAUCAGUAGAACCUUGAAAACUGCAUAGAUUAGAAAGAAUAAAGCAUCUCAUGGAUGCAUAAUUCUGGUUUUUAUAAUUUAGCCUCAAAACUAAAUUAUUUAGUUCUAGAAUUCAUGUUUAAUUCUUGAGUAAAAGCCGAGCACAAUUGAUUUUGUGAUUGUAUUUAA
rnacentral:tRNA from 1 species